rnacentral:rRNA from 1 species
AUUGAACGCUGGCGGCAGGCCUAACACAUGCAAGUCGAACGGACCCUUCGGGGUUAGUGGCGGACGGGUGAGUAACACGUGGGAACGUGCCCUUUGGUUCGGAACAACUCAGGGAAACUUGAGCUAAUACCGAAUGUGCCCUUCGGGGGAAAGAUUUAUCGCCAUUGGAGCGGCCCGCGUCUGAUUAGCUAGUUGGUGGGGUAAUGGCCUACCAAGGCGACGAUCAGUAGCUGGUCUGAGAGGAUGAUCAGCCACAUUGGGACUGAGACACGGCCCAAACUCCUACGGGAGGCAGCAGUGGGGAAUCUUGCGCAAUGGGCGAAAGCCUGACGCAGCCAUGCCGCGUGAAUGAUGAAGGUCUUAGGAUUGUAAAAUUCUUUCACCGGGGACGAUAAUGACGGUACCCGGAGAAGAAGCCCCGGCUAACUUCGUGCCAGCAGCCGCAGUAACAC